rnacentral:rRNA from 1 species
GAUGAACGCUGGCGGCGUGCCUAAUACAUGCCAGUCGAGCGAACAGACGAGGAGCUUGCUCCUUCGACGUUAGCGGCGGACGGGUGAGUAACACGUAGGUAACCUACCUAUAAGACUGGGAUAACCUCGGGAAACCGGAGCUAAUACCGGAUAAUAUUUCGAACCGCAUGGUUCGAUAGUGAAAGAUGGCUUUGCUAUCACUUAUAGAUGGACCUGCGCCGUAUUAGCUAGUUGGUAAGGUAACGGCUUACCAAGGCAACGAUACGUAGCCGACCUGAGAGGGUGAUCGGCCACACUGGAACUGAGACACGGUCCAGACUCCUACGGGAGGCAGCAGUAGGGAAUCUUCCGCAAUGGGCGAAAGCCUGACGGAGCAACGCCGCGUGAGUGAUGAAGGUCUUCGGAUCGUAAAACUCUGUUAUUAGGGAAGAACAAACGUGUAAGUAACUGUGCACGUCUUGACGGUACCUAAUCAGAAAGCCACGGCUAACUACGUG